AGUGAACGCUGGCGGCAGGCCUAACACAUGCAAGUCGAACGGCAGCACAGCAGUAGCAAUACUGUGGGUGGCGAGUGGCGGACGGGUGAGGAAUACAUCGGAAUCUGCCUAGUCGUGGGGGAUAACGUAGGGAAACUUACGCUAAUACCGCAUACGACCUACGGGUGAAAGCGGGGGAUCGCAAGACCUCGCGCGAUUAGAUGAGCCGAUGGCAGAUUAGGUAGUUGGUGGGGUAAAGGCUCACCAAGCCGACGAUCUGUAGCUGGUCUGAGAGGACGACCAGCCACACUGGGACUGAGACACGGCCCAGACUCCUACGGGAGGCAGCAGUGGGGAAUUUUGGGACAAUGGGCGCAAGCCUGAUCCAGCCAUUCCGCGUGAGUGAAGAAGGCCUCGG
rnacentral:rRNA from 1 species